rnacentral:rRNA from 1 species
UACGAAGGGGGCUAGCGUUGUUCGGAAUUACUGGGCGUAAAGCGCGCGUAGGCGGUGAUCUUUGUCAGAGGUGAAAGCCCGGGGUUCAACUCCGGAAUUGCCUUUGAAACGGGAUUGCUUGAGUCCGAGAGAGGAUGGCGGAAUUCCUAGUGUAGAGGUGAAAUUCGUAGAUAUUAGGAAGAACACCGGUGGCGAAGGCGGCCAUCUGGCUCGGUACUGACGCUCAGGCGCGAAAGCGUGGGGAGCAAACAGG